CGGGGACAGCGGCGAAAGGGAGAGGAACACGUGGAUACCUACCUCCAGGUUCAGGAUAGCUAUGGGAAACUAUAGGUAAUACUGAAUAAUAUCUCAGGAUCAAAGGUGUGAUUCCACCUGAGGAGGGGUCCGCGUCCUAUUAGCUAGUUGGUGAGGUAACGGCUCACCAAGGCGAAGAUGGGUACGGGAUGUGAGAGCAUAAUCCCGCUCAUUGGGACUGAGACACUGCCCAGACACCUACGGGUGGCUGCAGUCGAGAAUCUUCGGCAAUGGGGGAAACCCUGACCGAGCGACGCCGCGUGUGAGAUGAAGGCCUUCGGGUUGUAAAUCACUGUCGUAGAGGAGGAAAUGUAGGUGGGUUCUCCCACUUAUUUGACCUAUUCUAGGAGGAAGGACGGGCUAAGUUCGUGCCAGCAGCCGCGGUAAGACGGACCGUCCAAACGUUAUUCGGAAUCACUGGGCUUAAAGGGUGCGUAGGCGGUCCGGGAAGUUGGGUGUGAAAUACCUCGGCUCAACCGAGGAACUGCGCCCAAAACUGCCGGGCUUGAGGGAGACAUAGGUGCGCGGAACCUAGGGUGGAGCGGUGAAAUGCGUUGAGAUCCUAGGGAACACCAGUAGCGAAAGCGGCGCACUGGGUCUCUUCUGACGCUGAUGCACGAAAGCUAGGGGAGCGAAGAGGAUUAGAUACCCUCGUAGUCCUAGCCGUAAACGAUGAGCACUGAUUUGGAGGGUCCUCCAUAGCCUUCCAGAUGUAGCGAAA
rnacentral:rRNA from 1 species